GCCUCCUUAGCUCAGCUGGUAGAGCAACUGACUUGUAAUCAGUAGGUCGCUGGUUCGAUCCCGGCAGGAGGCUCC
rnacentral:tRNA from 1 species